CUUCUUAUUCUGGUUGUGUGAUGAUUAUACUAGAACCGACUUUUUGAAGGUCUUUCAUGAUUACUUGAUCACUAGCUUCAGGUGGGGGUGUGACUCUGCCAAGUAAUAGAAAUAUUUCUCUUUCAGUUUAGCUGUUGACCUGACUUGUCAGGAGAAUGCUCUUUCAAAAGAUACAUCUAUGAAAUUCCAUUUCUGGGAGGGGGGCGGGAUUCUGGAUUUGCAUGGAACAUUGUAAGUGUCAACUGCCCGGCUCCCACUGCUGGCUUGAAUGGCCAUCACUGUCUAUGCCCCCCUCUCCCCAAGUUCAUUGCAUUGACCCAUCCAGCACAGGUGGGGGUUCUGUUUUGUAAUAAUUGAAGUCACACCCCUCUUAUCUGUCUUCCUUCCCCUUUCUGCAGGGAACACUUCCCACUUUUCAAGGCUGUGCUGAAGUGCCAACCCCUUCCCUUGUUUUCCUGGGAUGCUCUGAGUCAGUCUUUCUGUGGCUGGUCCCUGGAAGGUCUGAGAUCCCUGGAAGGCAGGAUGAGAGCGGGUGGCAAAAAGGGACUGGGUACCGAGAGCAUCUCUAAUGGGUCCCUUUUCAUACAACUGGGAAUUGACACAAAGCACCAAGGAAACAAAAUAAUUCCCAAUGAAGGCUAGCUUGAUGUCUUUAACCCCUGUGUCUUCAGGACCUAGACACAGUGGGUAUUAAGUAGAUUUGUAUUGGAGGAUGCGCUCAGCAAGUUACCUCUAGUGACAUUCUGACCCUUUUAGGUCCCUUUCUCAUCAAGCGCGGCUAGGGAUUGUCUCUUGAGGAAGGGGCAAGGAGAGGAAUGAAGGAGGAAGGCUGGGCUCCGGGUCCCUGGCUGUGGCCGAUGUGUCUUUUUUCCAGAAGCAGAGCACUUUGGGAGUGAUGAAUGAUACAGAAACAUGCUUCCAGCAGCCAGCUGGCCCCAUACCAGGUCUUUGUGAAUACCAGCCAGAGGCAGCGUUGGUCUCCUGCCAGGCUAGGGACCGUAGGGGCACGUCUCAGGUUCUCAGCCCUCACAUGGAGCUUUUCCCAACUCACAGCUGUGGCAGCCCCAGACCAGGGUUGGUCCCUUCUUUGUCAUGUUCCUCAGAGGAGCUUCGUAGGCAGAGCUGACUCCGUUCCCUCUGCCUGUGUGUGUUUGCUUUGGCAAGCUCCAGGUAUUCCCUCCUAUCUCCUCUGCUCACCUGUCUUUGAUCCCAGUUUUCUUUCCCCGCUGCUUGCUUCUUGUCCCUGGAGGUGCAGAAGACAUGCUUGCUUUGGAAGAAACACCUGGAGGCUGUUAUUAGGUUACUUAAUGGGGGUCUGGAUGAACUGAGCUGUGUGUCUUAAAAAUCUCUUGUCCUUUUUUUUCUUCAGCUAUCUUCCACUGAACCAGUCUGGGAAAGACAACUGUCAGGAAUUAGAAACUUGAGGCAGUGACAUAGAGGGGUGUCACUGUGUUGUCCUGAUUUUGGCGAUGUCUGUGUUUUCAUAGUUUAUUCUGCAUUGAAGAGUAGUGGUUUCUUAAAAUUCACGCACAGUAUGCAUCAAUAGACUUUUUUUUUUCUUGAGAAAAAGUUUUGCUACGUAGCUAAGGCUGCCUUCAAACUCAGGACCCCACUUCAGCCUCCCAAGUGCUGGGAUUACAGGUAUAUUCCCACACCCAUCUAAUCGCCUGUGGUUUCUCUCUUGGAAUGUCUCAGGUAGCCCAGGUUGGCUCCAAACUCACAAAUUAGUUGAAGGUGACCUUGAAUGCACAGUGAUGGCGGGUAUAACCUAGAACACCAUGCCUGCUAAGCCAGUAAGCCACAUCCUUACUCUGGUUUUUCUUUUUUGGUAGUGGGCAAAAUAUCAAUUUCUUCCAGUAGAUGGAAUAUUAGGUUUGAUGAAAUACAGAAAAUAUCUCCAUUUAUUUCCCCAGGGUUUUGAUUUUAGUGCUUUAUUUUGGGGGUUGCGGAGUGGGAAGUGCUUGGUAUUAACGAUGCAGAUGAAUCUUUAACUUUUUUUAAAUUCCAUUUUUUUGGUAUGUGUGUAGAAAAUGUGCAUGUGUAGAAGUCAUGGGGCAACUUGCAGGAAUUGGUUCUUUCCUUCCACCAUGUAGGUCCCAGGGAUUGAACUCAGGUCAUCAAAUGUGAAGACAGAGGGCUUGACUCACCGAACUAUUUCCCCAGCCUGAGAAAAGCGCUUCUAUGAUCAACUCAUUUUGAAAUGUGCACCUAGUCAUCUUGAUAAUGAUUUGAAACACGUGGGGUAGAUUUCCACGAAGAUAGAAAGGAGCAGGACAGGGCAGCCCGGCUUCUGGUCUGACUUUGGCUGCAGGUGACUGGAAGACCUUGGGUGGGUAACUUUGUGACUGUGACCUUUCUUCUCUUCUGUAAAAUGGUGGGCGAGUGGGCCACUGGGCAAGGUGUAGGUUUUCUUUCUACCACCGUGAACUGUUAUUUAGUCACAGCGGGGUUAGUCCUCCUCAGAGAGCAGUUAUGUCAUAAGGAUCCCCGAGACUUGUCACCAUGGGUUAGCUCACGGUCCUCUGUGAGCCGAUGGUCUCAGAACACGAGUGAACAAGAAGAGCUGAGAGUCAACAAGUGGCCCUGUGCUGCCUGUGUGCUGUGACCCGAACCGAGACCCUUCCCUAAAGGUCAAAGUCUUCAGCACCUGUGACCUUUGGCAAGAAGGACUUAAAGAUGAUCUAGUUAAAAUGACAUCAUUAGAGUGGACCCUAAUGCAGUGUUAAUGUAUUGUUAGAAAAAGGGGAAAUCUGGGCGCAGAGACAGACAAAUGCAUAAGAAAGGGCUGGGUGGAUGUGAAGGCUGAGAUUUGAUUGUACACACCAAGGAACACCAAAGAUUGCCAGCAAACCACAGAAGCCAGGUGAGCGAGCGGUGGACGAUUCUUCCUCUCAGCCUUCGGAAGGGACCACUUUCAGCCUGGUGAGACCUUAGGUUCCCAGCCUCCGGGGCCAUGUGUCUUAGUUAGUUAGGGAUUUCUAUUGCUGUGAAGAGACACUGUGACCACCACAACUCUUAUAUAGGAAAACAUUUAAUUGGGGUAGUAGUUUACAGUUCAGAGGUUCAGUUCAAGUUGUAGAUUGAAUGUAAUUGGCCUCCAUAAUCUCAUAGGGAGUGGCUCUAUUAGAAGGUGUGGCUUUGUUGGAGCAGGUGUGGCCUUGUGAGGGGAAGUGUGUUACUACCUGGGUGGGCCUUGAGGUUUCCCAUACUCAGGACACUGCCCCGUGUCUUAGUCCAUUGUCAUCAUGGUGGGAAGCAAGGCAGGAUGCAGGCAGAUAUGGUGCUGGAGAAGAAGAAAGUUCUUACAUCUUGACUCAUUGGCAACAGGAAGUGAUUUCACUAGACGUGAGCCCAAAACCCACCUCCACAGUGACACACUUCCUCCAGCAAGACCACACAUCCUAAUAAUGCCGCUCCCCUUGGAAGCCAUUUUCUUGUUUUUCCAUUUAUUUAUUUAUUUAUUUAUUUAUUUAUUUAUUUAUUUAUUUAUUUAUUUAUGUUUCUUUGAAGCUUUGGAGCCUGUCCUGGAACUAGCUCUUGUAGACCAGGCUGGCCUUGAACUCACAGAGAUCCGCCUGCCAAUGCCUCCUGAGUGCUGGGAUUAAAGGUGCAUGCCACCACAGCCUGACAAGCGGGGCAUUUUCUUUUAAAGCACCACACCACGGAAUAAUACAUUUCUGUGUUUAAGCCCCUCCAUGGGUGGAACUUUGUCCUGGCGGCCCUGGGACACUGCUCCUACUGUGGGCACAUCGACUCAUUUGAUUCCUCAUUGUCUUUAUUGGUUAAUUCCUGAGUAGCCAGUGCUACACAACAAUAUAAUGGAAACGUCUUGCCUCUGCUUUGCUAGGGAAGGCUAAGAUGAAUAAUAGACAGACAAGUAUGUCCCGUGUCAGGUGGUAAAAUAAGGGGCAGGGAGAAGCGAGGCUGGGUGGGCGGCAGGGAGUUACUGCGCUGUGUAGCUGUGAUGGUGAAUAUGUGGGUUCUCUUCUAGUUUCAUCCUGUUGUGAGCAAAACAAAACUCUAACUUGGGGAUGAUACAGCUUAUUUGGCUUAUAAUUCCAGAUCUCAGUUCCUUUCGGUGGGAAGUCAGGAAAGGAAUUCAAAGCUGAAGCUUCAUGGAGAAACUAGGAAGGGCUUCUGCUUAUGGCUUGCUCUCCUACAUGCUCCUUAUCUAGCUUCCUCAAACAGCCUAAGACUGCCUGCUGACUGUACUGCUCCCAGUGGGCUGGGCCCUCCUAUGUCAAUUAACAAUGAAGCCCCAAAGACUUGCUUACCGGCCAUUUUGAUAUAGGCAAUUCCUCAGAUGAGGGUUCCUCUCCCAAGGAGACUCCAUGCCGUUGCAAGUUGACAAUAAAAAGUAGCAAGCACAAAGUGUCAACUUCACAGAAUCUGGAAUCACUUAAAUAAACCUCUGGAUGUGUCUGUGAGGGAGUUCCUAGGUUGAGAUCAGGGAAAGUAUGCCUUAAGUGUGGGUGGCACCCUUGCGUGAGCUGGGAUCCUGGGCCAAGUAUAGAGGAGAGAGGAGGUUAAGCACCUCUCUCUCUCCCCUUCCUGGCCGUGGAUGCGAUGGGGACCAGGUGCCCCACACUCCUGCAGCCACGACUUUUCUACAACAGUGGAUUCUACCCUUCUUUAAGUUCUUUUCAUGAAGUGUUGUUGCUGUGGCAACAGGAAACACAAAAACUAGUACAGUAGAGAAUGAAGCACAUACACAGCAGGAACAUUGCUGUGUCCCUACAAGCAGCAUGAAGGCAGGCUCUGAGCACACUCACCAAGCAAGGACUUGGAAGUCUUCUUUUGUGUGCUGAAGCUUAGCCACAUCAAGGUACUCGCCAAAGGUUAUGCAAACAGCGAAGGAAGCCACAGGGUUUAACCCAGGAUGUCUAAAGACUCAUGGUUUAUUUUGUACCACGAUGUGGUAUUGCUAACCGCCAUAAUGGCUCGUUGGUCUCUCUAUAUAUGUGAUAGCAAAAGCUUUUCAUUCAUCCGUGCCUCUGCCGUCUUCAGUAUUUCUGCUCACAGUCUACCCUCAGUUAGGAAGAUGGAAAGUAGACCUUUUCUACUUCCCAGCAGUCUAGCUUCUAAUACAAACAUGCCAAGUGGUCUUAUGACAUUUGGGGAAAACAGACUUAGUCAAAGUGCUCUGGCCAAUCAGAAAACAGAAUUUCUUUCCUGAUGAUGAUGAUGCCAUGAAGCCCUGGAUGAGGCACCCUGGGGGGGGGCUUUGUCUCUGGAAAUGCAAGAUGUGUAGCAAGAGGUUGUUCAUCUUGCUGGCUGGAGCAUCCAUCUUUUGCAGGUGUGAGGCCACAUCAGCUAGUAGGACUUAGGUCCAUCUGCCGCUUUGUUUACAGCUGGGAAGGAGAGUAGAGGAUUGCAAAAGGGGAAGUGGCUACAGCAUGCUGUAGGCUCCCUACCCCUCAUGCGCUCAUCCUGCUUGCUCCUCCCGAUCAGCGCCAAGAUCUUUCCCCACUGAACGUUCUUGCCGGCCCUUCCCAUUGUUUUAAACAACCCUAAAAUGAUGUACAAUUUAGUUUCUAUGACAAACACAUGAAUUGAGUCUCUACCCCUUCUCCCUUCCCCAAUCCUCUACAGAUGUAGAAACAGGCAUCACAGUGUUAUGGUUAAAAGCAUGAGAGGGUGGGGCUAUGGGAUGGCUUCUUAUGGUUAGGCUUCUGGUUCUCCACAGAUAUGUGAACUCAGGUCACUAAUUUGAUCUUGAUUUUUUUCUCAUUUGUAAAAUGAAAAUCAUAAUAAUUCCCUUUCUUGUGGGGCAACUGUGUUGAUUGAAUGACUUAAUUAAUGGUAGUAACCUGCACAGACUUCAGCACAUGUUUGCUGGGUGUAUUAAGCAUGAGAUGUUUCUGAGCUAUCCUCGGAUGUCUUGUCCGUCCCAGCCCCGGGAUGGGAAGUUCUCACAGGUUCCAUAAGGCCACCAGAACUAAGUUCACCCUUGCAUCUCAUGUUUCUUCCUUUUCAUGAGGAAGAGGCCCCAUAUUCAUCCCCAGAAUCUUUGCUGCUUUCUAGGCUGAGCUCAAAGGUUCUCCUGGGAUCACAGAGUCAGUCCUCUUCCGGUCCGUAACUCCAGAGACCGUUUUAUUGAUGCUUUCUCUAUCCUCUCUCUCUAAAGGAGGGAACUUGGAGCCGUCUUCUCUUGGAUCCAAGACUUUCCAUCUUUCCUAUGUGAGCCUAGAGAACUGUUUAUACUAACGUGUCGACAAGGACGUUUCAGAGAAUCACCAGUGAGCCUAUCUUCUUUUAAACAAGUCCCUUUAACUUGCUGGAACAAUUUGUUCUCUCUCUGGUAAAGAUUCUGCCAUUUUUUUUUUCAAAUGUCACAACGAAUGAACACAGAUAGCAAUAGUCUCUUGUGUUUUAGGAAGAAAAACCUUGUGAGAAAAUUAUCAGAGAAGCAGCAAUUUUAUUGGUUUCCAUAGACUUUCAUAUUAUUUUAAUGGAGGAGUCAGGGAAAAUAUAAAUAAAAAUAUUGUUUUAAAUGUAUUUGGGGGGAUUGUGAUUGUUCUGUAGUUGUGGGGAAUGGAAAGUCUCUACUGAACUUCUCUGAGAAAAUCUGUAAUAUUAUUGUUGUUAUUAUUUUUUUUAAUCACUUUCUGGAAUAGCAUCUGACACUUUAUUUUAUCCUCCUCAGAAGAAAUGGGUGAGUAAGUCUCCCGCCAGAUUACUUUCUCUGUAGGUUUUUGUGCAAAUGAAACACACACCAGCCUGGAACAUAAAAAAGACCUUUGGUAUUUGAUGUUGGAAAAAUGGCCUCGUGGAUCCAGGGCUCUUUAGGAGUCAUGGAUUCCGGAAAAGAAUUACUGAGACAAAGAAGUCAAAAUUACCCAGGAACCUGUGGGAGUUUGUUGAGACGAGUCAAGCAGUAACGUCGCGGUCUGUCACAGAUCUUCACUUCUGAGAUGGACCAAUUGGAUAUCACGGAGGACACAGCUAAAAGAAGGACAUAACCAGGGUCUUUGGUAAUGACGAGCCAUGGGCUUCACCACCGGAAGUCAGUCGUGCUACCAGAGACACGUGUUCUUUGUGGUUGAAGCCAUACCGAGGCAGGAUUUGCUGCUGCUCAGAGCUGAAAAUAUAGCCGAGUUUAUCUGCCCAGAAUAACAUCUGGAUUAUGCAUCCCGGAAAUAUAACCACCAUCACUUUGUGUCCUUGCACUGUGUUAAGCUCUCCCACGUGUUUUCCAAGUUGAGAGCCACGUGUGAGUCAGCAGGUUCUAAUUCGUCCUCCUCUCGAUCAUGUGCUGCAUAAAGUAGCGGGUAAACUGCCUUAGCCUAAUCCAGACCAGUUGUUUGCUGCAAGAGGUUGCCGAUACAGGUGUAUAAGGAAAAGAGACGUUUCAAAACAAGAGUGUGGUGACGCGCCUCCUUAAUCCCAGCAGUGAAUGCAGAGACAGGUGGAUAUCUGAGUUCGAGGCCAGCCUCGUCUACAGAGUUAAUUCCAGGGUUACACAGGGAAAUCAUGUCUUGGAAAACAACUACAACAAAACGAAACAA